GAUCCAGCCAUGCCGCGUGUGUGAAGAAGGCUUUCGGGUUGUAAAGCACUUUCAGCGAGGAAGAAAGCCUCUGGAUUAAUACCCCAGAGGAAGGACAUCACUCGCAGAAGAAGCACCGGCUAACUCCGUGCCAGCAGCCGCGGUAAUACGGAGGGUGCGAGCGUUAAUCGGAAUUACUGGGCGUAAAGCGCGCGUAGGUGGCUUGGCACGCCGGUUGUGAAAGCCCCGGGCUCAACCUGGGAACGGCAUCCGGAACGGCCAGGCUAGAGUGCAGGAGAGGAAGGUAGAAUUCCCGGUGUAGCGGUGAAAUGCGUAGAGAUCGGGAGGAAUACCAGUGGCGAAGGCGGCCUUCUGGCCUGACACUGACACUGAGGUGCGAAAGCGUGGGUAGCAAACAGGAUUAGAUACCCUGGUAGUCCACGCCGUAAACGAUGUCGACUAGCCGUUGGGACCUUUAAGGACUUAGUGGCGCAGUUAACGCGAUAAGUCGACCGCCUGGGGAGUACGGCCGCAAGGUUAAAACUCAAAUGAAUUGACGGGGGCCCGCACAAGCGGUGGAGCAUGUGGUUUAAUUCGAUGCAACGCGAAGAACCUUACCUACCCUUGACAUCCAGAGAAGUUGGCAGAGAUGCCUUCGUGCCUUCGGGAACUCUGAGACAGGUGCUGCAUGGCUGUCGUCAGCUCGUGUUGUGAAAUGUUGGGUUAAGUCCCGUAACGAGCGCAACC
rnacentral:rRNA from 1 species